UCCUGGUGAAACUGGAAAGGCCUUCGGGCCAC
rnacentral:sRNA from 1 species